GAAACCAAAGUUUCCAACUUCUUGGCCUUUUCCACUAAUUGGUAUUUAUCCAAUGCCUCUCUAGUAGAAAACAAAAUCCACAAUUACACUAUUCAGAGGCUGUAGUAAAACAGCUCCAGAUUCCUUCACAGCACUAAAGGACCCUAUUGACUGCAUUUCAAGGGAUGGGAUAGUGGAAGGGUAGACCACAAAAUGAAUAUCAGCAGAAACAUGGGUAUUGAAAAUCUUAAAAGUCCAUGGGUUUCCAAUUUUGAAGGAGUUCCUACCAAGAUGAUGGAUCCUGCCGUAGGUGCCUGUACAUGAGCUUCGCAAAACCAAAUAUGAACUAGUACCAUAGGCACUUUGACAGCGAAAGAGGUGAAAGAAGCAAUCCAUAGAAAGAGUUGGCGCCGCUCACUAAAUUUUGUGGUUAAUGAAAUUUGUAAAUUGGUGGCUCCUGUUUCGAGAAGAAUCAACAAAAUAGCUAAUAGCAUAAAAACACAUCCAAGUAAAGUAUAAAGGAAAAAUUGAUAUGCUGCAUUGAUCUUUCACUACAGGAAAUUUGCCUUCUCGCGGGGAGCAAAUUCCCCGCAAUUCUCCGAUUUUCCCGCAGCAAAUUUUCAGAAACUGCGAUUUGAGUUCAUCGCUAAUUGGUCGAAAGUAAAACGUCUGCUCAGAGGGGUUUCGGUGAGAAACCAUUGGUGGCCGCAACUGCAGCAGCUAACUCGGCCAACAAAUCUCGCAGCAAAAUUGGUUGAGCAAAUUGGUCUGAAGGGCAAUUACGGUGAGGAGACGUCGCAAAUUUGGGUCAUUGACGGCGAUUUUGCAACCCCGUAAAAUCUAAAUAUUCGGUGAUUCUAGAGCUGGCAGCAAGGAGCUUUGUUCCAUUUGCGGUGAAUUCAUAGACACCGCAAUUUCAAACUCUUCAUACGACGAUUUUGGGGCUGGCGGUAAGAAAGAGAGUUCCCAUUUGCGGUGUCUUCCUAUACGCUGCAAGUUCAGACUAAUACGGUGAAUUCAUAGACGCCGUAAAUUUUGAUAUUCUACAUGCGGUGAGGUUGUAUGGCGCAGAAAAUGCCAAAACCACCACUUUCUAAAAUUUACAAUUGCUGGGUUGGAUAUGCGGUGAAUAAAUGAAGAAACCCACUCGCAGAAUUAGAUCUAUGGGUUUUCCAAACGCUGGAUAGUACCAAUAGUUGAGCAAAUUUAUGGGUUUUUGGAAUGCCGUGCAUGCGCAAUAUUAUUCCCCCUAUUUUUGUUGCCACUACAAGAUCUAUAGUUGAGCAAAAUUAUUAUUUUUGGAAUGCUUCGCAGCAACGUUAACGUUAUUGGACAGCUCAUGUUUUGAACCCAGGAUCUAAUUAUAUUAAGCUGAAUUACACUGCACUAACUCAGGAAAAAAUUAAGAAGAUCAAGAAGAAAGAACUCUAAAGAGUAGCUACGUACGUAACCAGGUUGAAGAGGGAAAGACUACGCCGGUAAAAAGAGAAUAAGUAGUGGCAUCCACAAGAAGCUACUUAUUAUAGUAAGUAGUGGAGAUUUUUUCGAAAGAGAUGGUAGGAAGAUACAUACCGGGAUCUCUUAGUGCUUAAAGGUGAGUCUGAAUAUCAUUCAACGUCUCCAAUGGCCUCCACAUUCCCUCCAAUUUUGCCACCCAUGUCUAAGCAGAUUUCUUUGAAGAAAAAAACUCUGUAUCUUUCUGUGUACUGCUUUCGUGUAGUGGACUGAAGUGACUUGUAUCUGCUAUGGUGUUUUAAAAGUUUGGCUAAUUUCCCCCCAA